UAGCUCAGUUGGCUAGAGCACCUCGUUUACACCGAGGGGGUCGGGGGUUCAAGUCCCUC
rnacentral:tRNA from 1 species